CGGUAGUCGGUGGUGGCAGAGGGUAGGUGCAGCGCUGGUCAGAGAAGGCAGAGGUGGCUGCAGAAGAGUGGGUGGUGGCAGAGGCUAGGAAGAGCGGCGGCUAGGGUUUCUUUUCCCUUUUUUUUUUUUGAAAAUAGUUUAGGUUUGGGCAAUUUUGGGCUGUUAGGGUUUUUUUUAUUAUUAGGUCAUUUUGGGUCUGUUGGUUAUUGAAUUGUAAUAGGCUGGUAUUUGUUUUUGUUGUUUUUUUUUUUGCUUGCCUGGGCCCAGGCAAAAUUGGUUGUACACUUAUUAUAUAGAAAGCUUAAAUAUGAACAAGCUUAAUCGAGCACAAAUUCAAACUUGAGUACAAAAAUUGAUAAACAAAAUUAAUCGAGUUAGCUCAAU
rnacentral:lncRNA from 1 species